UAUGUGAUCGUCUCUCGCAUAUCAAUAAGCGGAGGAAAAGAAACUAACAAGGAUUCCCCUAGUAACGGCGAGUGAAGCGGGAAGAGCUCAAAUUUGAAAUCUUAAAGGGUUUCCCUUUACGAAUUGUAGUUUAAAGAAGUGUUUUCUGUUGAGGUUUUGGUAAAAGUUCUUUGGAAUAGGACAUCAUAGAGGGUGAGAAUCCCGUAUUUGACCUUUACUUUCAACUUUGUGAUACACUUUCAAAGAGUCGGAUUGUUUGGGAAUGCAGUCCAAAAUGGGUGGUAAAUUUCAUCUAAAGCUAAAUAUUGGCGAGAGACCGAUAGCGAACAAGUACCGUGAGGGAAAGAUGAAAAGAACUUUGAAAAGAGAGUUAAACAGUACGUGAAAUUGUCAAAAGGGAAGCGUUUGACACCAGUGUUGUUUUUCUGAAAAUCAGUUAAAGAACUGUUUAUGCUAAGCUGUUUAGACUUUAUCAGCUAUCUGUUUAGUUUUGAGCUUUUCUUUAAUGCACUUUUCAGUUAACAAGUCAACAUCAAUUUCUUUUGCUGUAAAAAAGCUUGAGGAAGGUGGCUUGAGAUUCGUCUUAAGUGUUUAUAGCCUCUUGCCUAUGCAGUCGGAGAGAUUGAGGUCUGCAGCGUAGAUCCUUCGGGGCUAAAUGCAUUUGUGCUAAGUUAUAGCAUUUUAUAGACAACUUGUUGACUAUGAUUUGUCUUGUAGCUUACUCGCUUAUGUUAUUUUACCUACGCUUAGGAUGUUGAAGAUAUGCGCGACACG
rnacentral:rRNA from 1 species